rnacentral:rRNA from 1 species
GUGGGGAAUAUUGGACAAUGGGGGCAACCCUGAUCCAGCAAUGCGGCGUGUGUGAAGAAGGUCUUCGGAUCGUAAAGCACUUUCGACGGGGACGAUGAUGACGGUACCCGUAGAAGAAGCCCCGGCUAACUUCGUGCCAGCAGCCGCGGUAAUACGAAGGGGGCUAGCGUUGCUCGGAAUUACUGGGCGUAAAGGGCGCGUAGGCGGCUCUGUUAGUCAGGCGUGAAAUUCCUGGGCUUAACCUGGGGACUGCGCUUGAUACUGCGGAGCUUGAGGCCGAGAGAGGGUUGUGGAAUUCCCAGUGUAGAGGUGAAAUUCGUAGAUAUUGGGAAGAACACCGGUGGCGAAGGCGACCACCUGGCUAGGUACUGACGCUGAGGCACGAAAGCGUGGGGAUCGAACAGGAUUAGAAACCCCUGUAGUCC